rnacentral:rRNA from 1 species
GAUGAACGCUGGCGGCGUGCCUAAUACAUGCAAGUCGAGCGAACAGACGAGGAGCUUGCUCCUCUGACGUUAGCGGCGGACGGGUUAGUAACACGUGGAUAACCUACCUAUAAGACUGGGAUAACUUCGGGAAACCGGAGCUCAUACCGGAUAAUAUAUUGAACCGCAUGGUUCAAUAGUGAAAGACGGUUUUGCUGUCACUUAUAGAUGGAUUCGCGCCGCAUUAGCUAGUUGGUAAGGUAACGGCUUACCAAGGCAACGAUGCGUAGCCGACCUGAGAGGGUGAUCGGCCACACUGGAACUGAGACACGGUCCAGACUCCUACGGGAGGCAGCAGUAGGGAAUCUUCCGCAAUGGGCGAAAGCUUGACGGAGCAACGCCGCGUGAGUGAUGAAGGUCUUCGGAUCGUAAAACUCUGUUAUUAGGGAAGAACAAAUGUGUAAGUAACUAUGCACGUCUUGACGGUACCUAAUCAGAAAGCCACGGCUAACUACGUG